GACUUGUUUGUAAUCUCUGCUCCAGGCCAGUGUUUACAUCGCCUGUAGCUUUUGGCUGUGUGGCACUUUUAUGUGGUAGUUACUAGGUAAUCCUUUGUGGCAAGCGGCAACCUGAUUUCUGGUGGCCAGCUGCUACACUAGCCAUGGCGUCUAUAGUUGAUCUAAUGUAUGCAAAAGAAAAAUAUAAAUGGGUGUUAAUAAGUAUCCAAUGAAUUCACCAUUAAAUAUGGUUUGCAUUUUUGUGCAGAAGUGAAUUUAGUGUUCAUUAGAAUAUUAGUAAUACUCAAAAUAAAAUUUAAGUUAGAUUUUUGUGUUGCUGAGAAUCACAACAAAUCGCAACUUAGUAAUUUGCUCAUAGGCAAAUAUUUCCAAAAUAAAUUAUAAAAAUCCUUUUAACUUUUUAUUAGCAAGAAUUAUUUUAAUGUGGGCUGUGGGUAUGUAUUAAUAUGUGGAGGUAGGAAUAUCAAAAAGCCAAAAAUGCCUGAAGCUAUUCAUGUCAACAAGCAUAUCUGUUUAAGGGUGGCUGACUUUAUGCACAUUUAAAAAAUACAUCUUAUAAAAUAUAUAGUUUCCCCAAGUGUCUCGUUUCACCAAAUUUGUUGUUUUGAGAUAGAGAGGUGAGUAAGCAGUCUCAAGCCCUCCCCUAGUAAGAGGUAAUAGAUUUUCUCAGAGUGGGCUGUGUCAGGGAAUACAGUGGCACCUGGUGAGGGAAACUGUUGGGCUGAGUGCAUCUGAUGAUUUGGAAGGUACUGUAACAAAGUACUUAAGGUUAGAUGAGGUAAGAGCAGGUAGAUUGGGAUCUUGAGUGUGGGGAGUCUAAGAUCUAGGGAAUCAUAUUUCAGGAGGCCUUUUCAUCUAAGGCAGAAUGUGGCCGAAGCCAUUGACCAGGGAGCGAGAGGGAGCAAGAAAGGUGUUACAACAAGGUCCUUCCAUGAUGAGUGUGUUUGUCAUUCACAGGGGCAGAGGUCUCAUGGCCUAAGUAGCCCUCCUAGGUCCUGCCUCAGAAGAAGGCUGCAAAGAGAAUUAGGUUUCCAACAGAUGUGUUUUGUGGGACACAUUCAAACCACAGCAGUUCAACUAUCUUGAGUGUGGUGACCUCGAUGUUUGCUCUUCUGUAAAAGCUACCCUGUGUCCCCAGCCUGGGUCAGGUGCUUGUCCUUUGUGUCCCCUCGGAAUUCUCUUGUGUAUUAGCACAGAGGUCGCUAUCACUUCACUGCCUGAGAAUUCACAAAACUUUGAACUUAUUCUCUCCAUCGCCAGUCUAGAUACCACAGAAUGCCUAGCAUAUCAUAUCCAUGCAAGUAUCUCUAAAUGUGUGGCAACUUGGAAACUUGUGGCUUACAGUAAUGAAGUCAUGGGUGAUGGCUCUAAUUUUUUUAUUUAUUCACUUUACAUCAAAAUAUCAGCCCCCCCUCUCCCCUGAUCCCCUUCAUAGCUCCUCUCCUUCUCCUCUGAGAAGGGGGAGCCCCUCCCCAGGUGUCACCCUGCUCUCAUCCCACACAUCAUUUACUGAAGGACUAGACACAUCUGUUCCCACUGAGGCCAGACAAGGAGGCCCAGUUAGGGAAACAGGAUCCACAGGCAGGCAACAGGUUCAGGGACAGCCCUACUCCAGGUGUCGGGGACCUGCAUGAAGACCAAGCUGCACAUCAGCUACAUAUGUGCCUGGGAUCUAGGUCCUGUCCAUGCUCCAUCUUUGAUUUCGGUUUCCGAGAUCCUCCAAGGGUUAACUGACUUUGUUGGUCUUCCUGUGGAGUUCCUGACCUCUUUAAGUCCCUCAAAUUAAAAAAAAAUGAAAUCAGGUGGUCGUGCACACCUUUAAUCCCAGCACUUCAGAGGCAGAGGCAGGUCUGGUUUGAGGCCAGCCUGGUCUACAGAGCAAGUUCCAGGACAGCCACGGCUACACAGAGAAACCUUGUCUUGGAUUCCCCCCCCCCAAAAAAAAUGGCUGUGAUUUUAUAUUUAGGAUUAAGAAGACAUCUGAAGAAGAUGGCUUUGACUUUUUUCCUCAUAUGAAGUUAAGGCUAACAUUCUUCCAUUUUAUAUGUAAAUUUAAAGGGAUGUGUAAUAGAAAUCGGAAACUCACAGGAGCCUUAAGAACCAACAUUCAAUUGUUCAUUUGUUCAAAUGUUUUAGUCC
rnacentral:lncRNA from 1 species